ensembl:lncRNA
GAAAUGUUCGUCCUAUCCGAGAGCGCCAUUGCUCAACCCGCGUUACACAGAAACCGUGCCGAUGAAUUAAAUAUCAUGGCAUCACGAUCCGAGGUUCGGGUUUCCUUUCUUCUGUGGCCUCUGCGCUCCUUGGUAACGGUGGUCAUGACAACCAGCCAGGACACAGGAAACGAGAGAGCAGACGGGAUGAUACACAAAAGGGAAGCAAAGGAAGGUUGACACAUACCAAUGAUGGCUUUAGAGACGGGAAUGGACGACACCACAGUUGAUAUAUUAUCAGCACCACGUGGGAUUGUGUAUUGAAAAUAAUGAAUUCAUUGGAAAUCCCUUGAAUGAUCUGGUUCGAGCGCCGGCAUUCUAGUGUGGUGAAGACCAGAGAUCCUCAAGCCCGCACACCGACUCGGUUUGAAAGGCAGUUCAGCGCGACUUCAUGCACUGAUCAGAGAGCAGAACACGGGCCUGUAGCGGCAACGGGAUAUCGUCGCGCCUCGUUCAGCUGUUCUAAGAUGACCAGGUGUGAGGAAACGUACAGAUCAUGAAUGUUUUACCGUUCUUGGUAACGGAGGGAUUGGUUUACCGUACCUGGUGAAGAAUGCCAUCUAGUGACCAGAUACAUGCACAUCAGGACAUACUGUAGGAGUCCCAUCAAUGACGAGAACACAGCGGCUACAGUAGGCAUAAAAUACCAAUUUAUUACUUUGCACAGUAACACAAGAAUUCCCUGCAGGCUAAAAAAAAGAAAAGAAAAGAAAAAAAAAAAAAAAGUAUUUCAAAAUGUCACAAAUAGCAACAACAGCAAGUGAUGGGCUCUCUGUUAGGGGGCGUAGCGAGAACAUACCCGGCCCCCCUCACACGGGUCAGAAAGGGUUCCGUUUGUUCAUAGAAUUGGAGCGUUCCAUUCACAGAAAUGGAAUGUUACAAUUCUAUGAUUCUAUUGCUGUCAGACACUCACAGAGACCACUAGCAGAAGAAAAAUGAAACUAACAGAGCAGAGCUAUAACAACCCCCCCCCCUCCCCAAAAGGAACCAAAGGGGGAAAACAAAAAAAGAAUUGGGGAUUGUUUUUAAAAAGGUUAAAAAGAGGUAAUCCUGCUCCCUUGAUGCCAUGGGGACCCCUUCACAAAGAGGAAGUGCAUUUGUGAGGGGUCUGCAGAGUUGGAGACAGGAGAGCCCCUCGUCCCCAUCAUGAGGCUUGGCCGCGGGUACAAACCAGGAACGAGGGGACAAAGUGGACACUCGCUACGGUAACCUGGCAGAGAGGAGAGGGGUUCGGCCUCCAACGGGUCCACGUUUGAAGAAAGUACCUCGUUUGAAUAUGGACACGAUGCGAAGAGCCGGGCCCCCUCCCCUCAGAAAAGAGCAUGUACCUUCCAAAUCAAUGACAUUUGUCUAGGAAUCUUUAAAAAGCGCCGUGUAAGACACUUGACAGAUAUUGCUAACCUAAAACAGUCCCACUAAAUUGAUAAACAUUCAACCCCCCCCCCUCCCUCCCUCCCAGAAGUUUUUUUAUUUUUUUUUUAACCUCUCUUAAUAAAUAUGAUUCCCC